rnacentral:rRNA from 1 species
AAUAGAUACCCGGGUAGUCCACGCCGUAAACGAUGAGUGCUAAGUGUUAGAGGGUUUCCGCCCUUUAGUGCUGAAGUUAACGCAUUAAGCACUCCGCCUGGGGAGUACGGCCGCAAGGCUGAAACUCAAAGGAAUUGACGGGGGCCCGCACAAGCGGUGGAGCAUGUGGUUUAAUUCGAAGCAACGCGAAGAACCUUACCAGGUCUUGACAUCCUCUGAUAACCCUAGAGAUAGGGCUUCUCCUUCGGGAGCAGAGUGACAGGUGGUGCAUGGUUGUCGUCAGCUCGUGUCGUGAGAUGUUGGGUUAAGUCCCGCAACGAGCGCAACCCUUGAUCUUAGUUGCCAUCAUUAAGUUGGGCACUCUAAGGUGACUGCCGGUGACAAACCGGAGGAAGGUGGGGAUGACGUCAAAUCAUCAUGCCCCUUAUGACCUGGGCUACACACGUGCUACAAUGGACGGUACAAAGAGCUGCAAGACCGCGAGGUGGAGCUAAUCUCAUAAAACCGUUCUCAGUUCGGAUUGUAGG